rnacentral:rRNA from 1 species
GUCCACACCGUAAACGUUGGGCGCUAGGUGUGGGACUCAUUCCACGAGUUCCGUGCCGCAGCUAACGCAUUAAGCGCCCCGCCUGGGGAGUACGGCCGCAAGGCUAAAACUCAAAGGAAUUGACGGGGGCCCGCACAAGCGGCGGAGCAUGCGGAUUAAUUCGAUGCAACGCGAAGAACCUUACCUGGGUUUGACAUAUACGAGAAGCCUCUAGAGAUAGAGGUCUCUUUGGACACUCGUAUACAGGUGGUGCAUGGCUGUCGU